UACGAAGGGGACUAGCGUUGUUCGGAAUACUGGGCGUAAAGAGCUCGUAGGCGGUUUGUCGCGUCGGCCGUGAAAACUCGGGGCUUAACUCCGAGCCUGCUUCCGAUACGGGCUGACUAGAGGUAUGCGGGGGGAGAACCGGAAUUCCUGGUGUAGCGGUGAAAUGCGCAGAUAUCAGGAGGAACACCGGUGGCGAAGGCGGUUCUCUGGGCAUUACCUGACGCUGAGGAGCGAAAGUGUGGGGAGCGAACAGG
rnacentral:rRNA from 1 species